AUUGACCGCUGGCGGCAGGCCUAACACAUGCAAGUCGAACGAGUGGCGGACGGGUGAGUAAUGUCUGGGAACCUGCCUGAUGGAGGGGGAUAACUACUGGAAACGGUAGCUAAUACCGCAUACCAUCAGAUGUGCCCAGAUGGGAUUAGCUUGUUGGUGGGGUAACGGCUCACCAAGGCGACGAUCCCUAGGUGGUCUGAGAGGAUGACCAGGCACACUGAAACGGAGACAGGGGCCAGACUCCGACGGGAGGCAGAAGUGGGGAAUAUUGCACAAGGGGGGCGAUGCUAAUGCAACCAUGCCGCGUGUAUGAAGAAGGCCUUCGGGUUGUAAAGGACUUUCAGCGGGGAGGCGUUACCCGCAGAAGAAGCACCGGCUAACUCCUUGCCAGCAGCCGCGGUAAUUC
rnacentral:rRNA from 1 species